AUCCGGUCGGUGGAAGGCUGGUUAAACCGUUUGGUUUACGACCACUACGACCCGGGUUCGAUUCCCGCAUUGGACA